rnacentral:rRNA from 1 species
ACGGCGAAUGGUUCAUCAAGUCUUCAAAAAAGAAUAUAUACGAUUGCAUUGCAUAUACUAACGGAUGCGAUCAUACCAGCACUAAUGCACCGGAUCCCAUCAGAACUCCGCAGUCAAGCGUGCUUGGGCGAGAGUAGUACUAGGAUGGGUGACCUCCCGGGAAGUCCUCGUGUUGCAUCCCUCUUUUAUGUUUAACCUUUUUUUU